rnacentral:lncRNA from 12 species
UGCCCGAGGAGAGGAGAGAGUGACUGAGAGAGAAAAAUGGAGUUUCAUUGAUCCAUGUGCUUUUCCCUCUUUUUUGCCCUGGGACACGGCCCAUUGUCAUGACUGAACCUGACUUUCAUUAUCUCAAGGGGGAAUAGAGAGCUAAGUUGUCAAAUUUUUGCCUUUUCAAGUUUCAUCAACAUCAUCUAAGGAAAUUUUUGUUUUUGUUUUUUAUUUCAGUAGCACCCAUCAUUAAUUCCACCUUCUGAGCACCACGAGCACACUCCAUAUAGAUCUGAUCAGGGAAGGAGGAGGAAUAAAGGACCCCCUGAGAUGGAGUCCUGGAAUUGGAGAGGUCUGAGCAACCCCUCCAAGGAAAGUGACUGCUCUUUCCCCACCCAGACGAACACAGGAGGUUUACUUUCUGGAGACAUUAAAGACACAGAACACCAGGAACAGCUGAUGGGGUGGCUGAUUUACCCUACCAAAAAUAAAAGAUGAAAUAACAGAACACUGGGAGUAAAAUGAAGAUUUAAGAACUUACCGGUAGAGAGAAAAUACAGGUGGAAUAUGAAAGACAGAAAUAGAAACAUGUCAGACUUCUCAGUAGCAACCCUGGAAGUUAGAGCACAAUGGGGCCUUUCUAAAAAAAAAAAAAAAAAAAAAAAAAUUCGGGGCGGAUAUUAUUUCUGAUAAACAUUGUAUUAAAAAACAAACUAUUCUCAAAUAUAAGAGUAAAUUAAGCAAUAUGGAAGAUCACAAAAAUUGCAUAUCCUAUACACUUUCCUCUUGCUGAAGAG